AUGAGGCCUAAACAAAAUAUUAAUGGAGCUCAUGAGGAGACAUGAAGUACAGAGAGGAGAUGGGGAUGUGGCUGUGUCAUGCUGUGGAUUAGGACAGGUUUUGUGUGUACUAAUAGGACGGCGGCCAUUUUAUUUCUCCUAAUGAUUGCU